UGUGUGUGUGUACUGAUGUGUGUGUGGGUGUGUUACAGGAGACUGAGAUCGACAGCAUUCAUCAGCUAGUUGUUGGUGCCACAGAAAAUGUGAAAGAAGGAAAUGAAGAUAUUAGAGAGGCUAUCAAGAAUAACGCUGGGUUCCGCGUUUGGAUUCUGUUCUUCCUGGUCAUGUGUUCGUUCUCACUGCUGUUUCUGGACUGGUACGACGGCUGAACCACGAGCCCAACCGGAUCACAGAAUCAAUGUGUGUGUGUGUGAUGUGUGACUGUCUGUGUGUGUGUGUAUGAUGUGUG